GCCUGGGUGGCUCAUUCAGUUGAGCGUCUGACUCUUGAUUUCAGCUCAGGUCAUGAUCUCACAGUUUGUGGGUUCAAGUCCCACGUCAGGCU
rnacentral:tRNA from 1 species